GAGAGCCAGAUUCUAAUCUCAGCUACAGAGGUGUAAAUCCAUAAUUAUGUCACUUAUUUACACCAAUGUAACUGAGAUCACAAUCUGAC
rnacentral:miRNA from 1 species